GUAAAUCAUUUUUUUAUUCAUCAAAAUUUCAUUAUUUAUUAAUCAACAAACACAGAAAAUACGGAAACAACAAGCCAAGGCAGCAAAUGAAGCAGCAUAAAAAAACAACUAUUACUUACACAUUAGUCAUCUCUAAUUCGAUGUUAAAUAUUAUUUUUAUUAUUUUUAUACAGAACAAAAAAACAAAAACGAAAAGCGCUCGAGGAUUUCGAGAGAAAAAUCAGCGGCUUACCGAGACGAAAAAGCGAAAUAAAUACUAAGAAAAAAGAGCCCUUGGACUUCGAAAGCUCCAGCUCUUCCCAACAAGAUGACUCCGAUGACGAAGACUCAGAGGACAGCGACACCGCUGAACACGACGACGUCAAGGUAGUUAUGAAUGUAACUGAAUAAUAAUUAAUUUCGCGAUAGGCGGCCGAAGCAUGGAACCCUGUUGCACCUGAUGGCUCGCAUGAAUUUUGUUAUGUAUGCCUAAACCAAAGAAACCCUAUAUCUUUGUGACAAUGCUGACUGCGGCAAGGGCGUCCACUUGAAGUGUUGCAAGAAAUUAGAUGGCGACCCGGUAGCCGAUGUCACUGCCCUGAACAACAGAAAAGCCACAACACAUUACAGGGAGUUAGACUAUUAGAAACAGCAAGCCUUUCCGUUCAUCCUCGAAAUGCUUUUAUACCCAAACAAACUAUUUUCGACAGAUAUCUUCUUGUUUUUUUAUUCACACCCUAACCUUGCUUUGUCUAACAAUCUGAAUAAACAACCAAUGA